rnacentral:rRNA from 1 species
AUUGAACGCUGGCGGCACGCUUAACACAUGCAAGUCGAACGGCAGCGGGGGGAGCUUGCUCCCUGCCGGCGAGUGGCGAACGGGUGAGUAACGCGUAGGGAUCUGCCUGUUAGAGGGGGAUAAGCCGUGGAAACGCGGUCUAAUACCGCAUACGCCCUAAGGAGGAAAGUAUGGGACCGAAAGGCCAUACGCUAACAGAUGAACCUGCGUUAGAUUAGCUAGUUGGUGGGGUAAAGGCCUACCAAGGCGACGAUCUAUAGCUGGUCUGAGAGGAUGACCAGCCACACUGGAACUGAGAUACGGACCAGACUCCUACGGGAGGCAGCAGUGGGGAAUAUUGGACAAUGGGGGCAACCCUGAUCCAGCGAUGCCGCGUGUGUGAAGAAGGCCUGCGGGUUGUAAAGCACUUUAGUUGGGGAGGAAAGCCUGAGGAUGAAUAAGCCUUAGGGGAGACGUUACCCAAAGAAUAAGCACCGGCUAACUCUGUGCCAGCAGCCGCCGUAA